GGACCCAGUCCCAGUGUAAAAACUAGGUUGGAGCAAGGCGCUCCACACAAGCGCCUGACUGCGCUGCAGGCAGAAGGACCCAGUCCCAGUGUAAAAACUAGGUUGGAGCAAGGCGCUCCACACAAGUGCCUGACCGCGUCACAGGCAGAAGGACCCAGUCCCAAACAGUGAGCUAAGUUGCUUCUUCAUAUCCUUGCUUCUGCACACCUCUUCCCUGCCGAGACCCAGCACUAGGCACGACCGUGCCAGAAUCCCGAUCCUACACCUGCUGCCAGCAGCAACUACACAGAACAUGAUUAAUGCUCGAGGAUGACGUGUGAUAUGGUGUCUCAGGACUGAAGAGUAUUCCAAGGACCUUCCAGUGACCUUGACGGAGACUGUGACUUCGAUGCCAGACAGACAGGCUCCUGACAGCUUUCUCUGCCAAGCUGCAGCACUGUCAUUUUUCGGGCCGGCCACUGGCUGGCCACUGCUAACUCCUGGGCCUGCCAGCUGGCUGGCUACCACCACCAUUUUCUUCCCCCCACCUGUCCCUAUUGCUAUCCUAUCUGGCAGCUCUCCAAACUCUUGCAAGACCUGCCACGCAUGGGAUUAGCCACAGUGUUAGUCUUGCAAACUUGGCACCAGGAUAUGCUAGCCCAAAAGAAAUUCAAGAUUCUUAUUGUCAGAUGGUUUAACUAAUUGCAGUUCAUCCACCAGUUUCCUACAUGUUAAAAUAUAUUCCAGAUGGUUGUGAAUUUUUCCACUGCUAAGCUGUGCAAUUUCAUUUCAAGAACCACGUGCAAGACAACAAUCUGCUGGUCUAGGUCAAGGAAUUAGGGGUGGGGGUGGGGAGAGGAAGGCUAAUUUAAAGCUACUGUGGCCAUAUAUUACAUUUCGCUUGUUUAGGAUCAAAUCCUAGAAUGGUGCCAAUCGCUUUCAAAUAAACAGAAUCAGACUUCUAGUGUUUAUUAAUGUUCCCCCUUAAGCUGGAAACAGCAGGCAUGCUGUAAUAACUGGAAGGCUGCCAUCUCUGCUACUAUAUUGUCUGUCCAAAGGCAAGUUUUACCCUGUUUUGGAAAUCACUAAACAAACACGAGCAUAUUGUUAAGUACCCUGUCUGUCCA